rnacentral:tRNA from 1 species
GGGCCCAUAGCUCAGCUGGGAGAGCGCUUGACUGGCAGUCAAGAGGUCAGCGGUUCGAUCCCGCUUGGGUCCACCA